rnacentral:lncRNA from 1 species
CUCCCGUGGUGGCAUCUUCUCUUCCCCCGUGUGGAGCUGCCUUCUGAGACGCAUGGCGAAUGACGGACCUCAACCUCCAGGGCUGUUGUUCAGAUGCCGCCGGGCACUGGGCCCUGGCCACAUCCCAGACAGCUGUAUCAGGAAGUCACCCCCCUCCCCUCAUCCACAGGGGAUGAAACCAGAGCACAGAGAUACCAGAGCUGCAAGCAACCCCUGGCAGAAGAGGCGAUGGCAUGGAACUGAGGCUCAGGGCAGCGCUGGAGGAAGCACUUGUGCCCUGUUUUGUGGAGUAUGGUGCACAGGGGGCCAGACUUGUGGGAGGUCACUCCCCAACCCCGGGAUGAAACCUGUCCAGGGCACUUGGAAGCCCUCCAUGCCCAUCUCAUGAGGAGGGCAUGGAACUGAGACCAGGCUUUGGCAGCCACCUUCACACCAGCCUGUGCUCACAUCACCCCCAGCCCGUGGCGAUGCUGCUGGGGCUCAGCCAGCUCCCCGCACUGCUGGAGUGGAAGAGGAAAGGAGACCCCAGCCCAGCCAGCAUUGUGGCAGCCUCAAGCCUCAGCCUGGACAACAUGCUGGCAUCUGCCUCCAAAUCUGCAGUCCCUGAAGCCAGCGGUGUGUGUCCCAGGGUCAAGCCACCUGCUG